rnacentral:rRNA from 1 species
GACGAACGCUGGCGGCGUGCCUAACACAUGCAAGUCGAACGAAGCAUAGCAAUAUGCUUAGUGGCGGACGGGUGAGUAACGCGUGAACAAUCUGCCCUGUACAAAGGAAUAGCCUCGGGAAACCGGGAUUAAAACCGUAUGACACUUUAGUAUCGCAUGAUAAGAAAGUCAAAUCGAAUAGAGGUAUGGGAUGAGUUCGCGUCUGAUUAGCUGGUUGGCGGGGUAACGGCCCACCAAGGCGACGAUCAGUAGCCGGCCUGAGAGGGUGAACGGCCACACUGGAACUGAGACACGGUCCAGACUCCUACGGGAGGCAGCAGUGGGGAAUAUUGCACAAUGGAGGGAACUCUGAUGCAGCGACGCCGCGUGAGUGAAGAAGGUCUUCGGAUCGUAAAACUCUGUCCUUGGUGAAGAAAAGGACGGUAGCCAAGGAGGAAGCCCCGGCUAACUACGUGCCAGCAGCCGCGGUAAAACGUGCGUG